AAGUCGAACGCUUUGUUUUUAAUUGAUAUGAAGAGCUUGCUCUGAUUUGAUUCUAUCUGACAAAGAGUGGCGAACGGGUGAGUAACACGUGGGUAACCUACCUCUUAGCAGGGGAUAACAUUUGGAAACAAGUGCUAAUACCGUAUAACACUAACAACCGCAUGGUUGUUAGUUGAAAGAUGGUUCUGCUAUCACUAAGAGAUGGACCCGCGGUGCAUUAGCUAGUUGGUAAGGUAAUGGCUUACCAAGGCGAUGAUGCGUAGCCGAGUUGAGAGACUGAUCGGCCACAAUGGGACUGAGACACGGCCCAUACUCCUACGGGAGGCAGCAGUAGGGAAUCUUCCACAAUGGGCGCAAGCCUGAUGGAGCAACGCCACGUGUGUGAUGAAGGGUUUCGGCUCGUAAAACACUGUUAUAAGAGAAGAACGACAUUGAGAGUAACUGUUCAGUGUGUGACGGUAUCUUAUCAGAAAGGAACGGCUAAAUACGUGCCAGCAGCCGCGGUAAUACGUAUGUUCCAAGCGUUAUCCGGAUUUAUUGGGCGUAAAGCGAGCGCAGACGGUUAUUUAAGCCUGAAGUGAAAGCCCUCAGCUCAACUGAGGAAGGGCUUUGGAAACUGGAUAACUUGAGUGCAGUAGAGGAAAGUGGAACUCCAUGUGUAGCGGUGAAAUGCGUAGAUAUAUGGAAGAACACCGGUGGCGAAAGCGGCUUUCUGGACUGUAACUGACGUUGAGGCUCGAAAGUGUGGGUAGCAAACAGGAUUAGAUACCCUGGUAGUCCACACCGUAAACGAUGAGUGCUAGAUGUUCGAGGGUUUCCGCCCUUGAGUGUCGCAGCUAACGCAUUA
rnacentral:rRNA from 1 species